rnacentral:lncRNA from 1 species
UGGUUAAGAUAGUUACAGUAUGAGCAUGAGACACGCAUCAUGGAUGCCAUAUGAUACUAGGUUGUACUGCAUUAGAGAUCACGAAUAUGCUGCAUUGCAUUGUUAUUGUUGAUGGGAUGGACCAAGGCGAUCUCAGUAGCCCGCUACCUGUUAUGUCUAGAUAAGACCUUUGGGAGCUCCGCAGUUAGGGGCCGGGCUCUAGUACAUGUAGU